rnacentral:rRNA from 1 species
UACAGAGGGGGCAAGCGUUGUUCGGAAUUACUGGGCGUAAAGGGCGCGUAGGCGGCCUGUUAAGUCGAAUGUGAAAUCCCCGGGCUCAACCCGGGAACUGCGUCCGAUACUGGCAGGCUUGAAUCCGGGAGAGGGAUGUGGAAUUCCAGGUGUAGCGGUGAAAUGCGUAGAUAUCUGGAGGAACACCGGUGGCGAAGGCGGCAUCCUGGACCGGUAUUGACGCUGAGGCGCGAAAGCCAGGGGAGCAAACGGG